rnacentral:rRNA from 1 species
CCAACUACGUGCCAGCAGCCGCGGUGACACGUAGGCUCCAAGCGUUGUCCGGAUUUAUUGGGCGUAAAGAGCUCGUAGGCGGUUCAGCAAGUCGGGUGUGAAAACUCUGGGCUCAACCCAGAGCCUGCACCCGAAACUGCUGUGACUAGAGUUCGGUAGGGGAGUGGGGAAUUCCUAGUGUAGCGGUGAAAUGCGCAGAUAUUAGGAGGAACACCGAUGGCGAAGGCACCACUCUGGGCCGAAACUGACGCUGAGGAGCGAAAGCGUGGGUAGCAAACAGGAUUAGAUACCCUGGUAGUCCACGCCGUAAACGAUGGGCACUAGGUGUGGGUCUCUAACCAACGAGAUCCGCGCCGUCGCUAACGCAUUAAGUGCCCCGCCUGGGGAGUACGGUCGCAAGACUAAAACUC